rnacentral:rRNA from 1 species
CUGGUUGAUCCUGCCAGUAGUCAUAUGCUUGUCUCAAAGAUUAAGCCAUGCAUGUCUAAGUAUAAACUUUUUAUACUGUGAAACUGCGAAUGGCUCAUUAAAUCAGUUAUCGUCUAUUUGAUUGUGCCCUUACUACAUGGAUAACCGUAGUAAUUCUAGAGCUAAUACAUGCGAAAAGUCCCGACUUCUGGAAGGGAUGUAUUUAUUAGAUUAAAAACCAAUGCGUUUCACGACGCUAUUCGGUGAUUCAUAAUAACUGUUCGAAUCGCAUGGCCCUCGUGCCGGCGAUGUUUCAUUCGAGUUUCUGCUAUCAACUUUCGAUGGUAAGGUAUUGGCUUACCAUGGUUGCAACGGGUAACGGAGAAUUAGGGUUCGAUUCCGGAGAGGGAGCCCGAGAAACGGCUACCACAUCCAAGGAAGGCAGCAGCGCGCAAAUUACCCAAUCCCGACCCGGGGAGGUAGUGACAAUAAAUAACGUUGCAGGCGCCAACGGCUUCUGCAGUCGGAAUGAGUACAAUAUAACACCCUUAACGAGGAACAAUUGGAGGCAAGCCUGGUGCCAGCAGCGCGGUAAUUCCAGCUCCAAUAGCGUAUAUUAAAGUUGUUGCAGUUAAAAAGCUCGUAGUUGGAUUUCGGAACCGGCCGAUUGGUCCGUCCUUUGGAUCGUGUACUGAUCGGUCUGUUCUUCUUCGCGAAGACCGCGUGUGCCCUUAACUGGGUGGGCGUGGGGAUUCGCGACGUUUACUUUGAAAAAAUUAGAGUGUUCAAAG